GUACGGAGGAUCCGAGCGUUAUCCGGAUUUAUUGGGUUUAAAGGGAGCGUAGGUGGACAGUUAAGUCAGUUGUGAAAGUUUGCGGCUCAACCGUAAAAUUGCAGUUGAUACUGGCUGUCUUGAGUACAGUAGAGGUGGGCGGAAUUCGUGGUGUAGAGGUGAAAUGCUUAGAUAUCACGAAGAACUCCGAUUGCGAAGGCAGCUCACUUGACUGCAACUGACACUGAUGCUCGAAAGUGUGGGUAUCAAACAGGAUUAGAUACCCUGGUAGGCCACACAGUAAACGAUGAAUACUCGCUGUUUGCGAUAUACAGUAAGCGGCCAAGCGAAAGCAUUAAGUAUUCCACCUGGGCAGUACGCCGUCAACGGUGAAGCUCAAAUGAAUUGGCGGGG
rnacentral:rRNA from 1 species